AAGAUAUUAGUNAGAAUAACUACAUUACUUUGUCAAAGUUAAAUUAUAGGUUAAAAUCCUUUAUAUCUUA
rnacentral:tRNA from 1 species